AAAUUGAAGAGUUUGAUCAUGGCUCAGAUUGAACGCUGGCGGCAGGCCUAACACAUGCAAGUCGAGCGGCAGCGACAUAAACAAUCCUUCGGGUGCGUCUAUGGGCGGCGAGCGGCGGACGGGUGAGUAAUGCCUAGGAAAUUGCCCUGAUGUGGGGGAUAACCAUUGGAAACGAUGGCUAAUACCGCAUAAUGCCUACGGG
rnacentral:ncRNA from 1 species